rnacentral:misc_RNA from 1 species
GUGAGUCAUCGAAUCUUUGAACGCACCUUGCACCUUUUGGUAUUCCGAAAGGUACGCCCGGUUGAGUAUUAUGAACACCUCAAUCCAACGGUCUCUGAUUGCAAAGGUCCCAUGUUCGGCGAAGCCCUUCUGUGGAGGGGUGGUAGCCGAAGUCGGACUUGGAGGCCUGUUGGACUUGGACUUGAGCGACGACUGUCGGUCCGCUUGGAUCGACUCGCUCGAAAUGCAUUAGCUGGCGACCCGUCUUACGGUUCCACUCGACGUAGUAAGUUCUAUUUCGUUGAGGACGCCUCUCCGGAG